rnacentral:rRNA from 1 species
GAAGGCCCUCGGGUUGUAAACUGCUUUUGUACGGAACGAAAAGGCCUUUUCUAAUACAGAGGGCUCAUGACGGUACCGUAAGAAUAAGCACCGGCUAACUACGUGCCAGCAGCCGCGGUAAUACGUAGGGUGCAAGCGUUAAUCGGAAUUACUGGGCGUAAAGCGUGCGCAGGCGGUGAUGUAAGACAGGUGUGAAAUCCCCGGGCUUAACCUGGGAACUGCAUUUGUGACUGCAUCGCUGGAGUGCGGCAGAGGGGGAUGGAAUUCCGCGUGUAGCAGUGAAAUGCGUAGAUAUGCGGAGGAACACCGAUGGCGAAGGCAAUCCCCUGGGCCUGCACUGACGCUCAUGCACGAAAGCGUGGGGAGCAAACAGGAUUAGAUACCCUGGUAGUCCACGCCCUAAACGAUGUCAACUGGUUGUUGGGUCUUCACUGACUCAGUAACGAAGCUAACGCGUGAAGUUGACCGCCUGGGGAGUACGGCCGCAAGGUUG